AUGUUUCGCAUUAGAUCAGAUUUCACAGUCCUCGUGCAUUGUUUGUUUGGGAUAAGAACACACGUGGCUCAGACAGUCAACGGAUGCCUGUCUGAAAAUAAGCCUAUACUUGGAUGUUGUUGGAUACUUGCUCAUUCUAAAUGUUUAAAUGACUUAAUGCUUUGUUCUAAAUUAGGCCUAUUUUUUUUUUUUUUUUUGGUGCUCCAUAUUUUUCCUUCAGUUUUGCACAAAGCCGUGUUUGCUGGGAAGAAGAAGUACAGUCAGGAUUGGGGCUAUGAAGACGAAGUUGGCAAUCUGAAGAGGUACUUGGAAAAAGAAAACAAGAUCUCCAUUUGGGACAUCCAUUUUUCUCACUGCAAUUUAUUCAUUCUUGUCUACAAGUGA
rnacentral:lncRNA from 1 species